GAUGAAGAACGUAGUGAAAUGCGAUAAGUAGUGUGAAUUGCAGAAUUCAGUGAAUCAUCGAAUCUUUGAACGCACAUUGCGCCCUUUGGUAUUCCAAAGGGCAUGCCUGUUCGAGCGUCAUUUGUACCCUCAAGCUUUGCUUGGUGUUGGGCGUCUUGUCUCUAGCUUUGCUGGAGACUCGCCUUAAAGUAAUUGGCAGCCGGCCUACUGGUUUCGGAGCGCAGCACAAGUCGCACCCUCUAUCAGCAAAGGUCUAGCAUCCAUUAAGCCUUUUUUUCAACUUUUGACCUCGGAUCAGGUAGGGAUACCCGCUGAACUUAAGCAUAUCAAUAAGCGGAGGA
rnacentral:misc_RNA from 1 species